CCUACGGGAGGCAGCAGUAGGGAAUAUUGCUCAAUGGGGGAAACCCUGAAGCAGCAACGCCGCGUGGAGGAUGACGGUUUUCGGAUUGUAAACUCCUUUUGUUAGAGAAGAUAAUGACGGUAUCUAACGAAUAAGCACCGUCUAACUCCGUGCCAGCAGCCGCGGUAAUACGGCGGGUGCAAGCGUUACUCGGAAUCACUGGGCGUAAAGAGCGCGUAGGCGGGAUAGCAAGUCAGAUGUGAAAUCCUAUGGCUUAACCAUAGAACUGCAGUUGAAACUGUUAUUCUAGAGUAUGGGAGAGGUAGGUGGAAUUCGUGGUGUAGGGGUAAAAUCCGUAGAGAUCAAGAGGAAUACUGAUUGCGAAGGCGGCCUACUGGAGCGUAACUGACGCUGAUGCGCGAAAGCGUGGGGAGCGAACAGGAUUAGAUACCCUUGUAGUC
rnacentral:rRNA from 1 species